UACAACUCUGAGCGGCGGAUCACUCGGCUCGUGCGUCGAUGAAGAACGCAGCCAGCUGUGAGAAUUAAUGUGACUUGCAGGACGCAUCGACCAUCGACACUUCGAACGCACAUUGCGGCCCCGAGCUCUGCCCGGGGCUACGCCUGUCUGAGGGUCGCGA
rnacentral:rRNA from 1 species